GAUGAACGCUAGCUACAGGCUUAACACAUGCAAGUCGAGGGGAAACGACAUCGCAAGCUUGCUUUUGAUGGGCGUCGACCGGCGCACGGGUGAGUAACUCGUAUCCACUCUGCUCAUCACUUGGGAAUAACCUUGCGAAACUAAGACUAAAACCCAUUGAUAUCCCACGAAGGCAUCGGUAUGGGAUUAUAGUUUUAUCGGUGAUGGAUGGGGAUGCGUCUGAUUAGCUUGUUGGCGGGGUAACGGCCCACCAAGGCAACGAUCAGUAGGCGUUCUGAGAGGAAGGUACCCCACAUUGGAACAGGGACACGGACCAAACUCCUACGGGAGGCAGCAGUGAGGAACAUUGAGCAGUGGGGGAGAGCCUGAAACAGCCAAGUAGCGUGCAAGAAGACGGCCCUAUGUGUUGUAAACUGGUUUUAUAAGGGAAUAAAGUGGGUAACGUGUGACUUUUUGACUGUACCUUAUGAAUAAGCACCGGCUAACUCCGUG
rnacentral:rRNA from 1 species